UUCUUCAUGCAAAGUCGUCUUUAGUACCUUCUAUCUCAAAGUGAGUUGGUGUGAGACAAAAACUGUUGCACUAUAUAUCAAGUCUUACAAUGCCAUUCGAUAGCUUUGUGUGUGGAAAGCUGUAACUACAUUUACACAGAAAUCUAUCAUAUUGCUUCUGAAGAUCUAGAUUUAACCACUUGAGUCAUAUGGAUUACUUUUAUGUUUCCUUUAUGUGAUUUUUGGAGCUACAAAAGGUCUGAUCAUCAUUCACUUGCAUUGUACGGACCUACAGAGCUGAAAUGUUCUUCUAAAGAUCUUUGUUUGUGUUCUGCUGAAGAAAGAAAGUCAUUCAUAUCUGGGAUGGCAUGAGAGUGAGUAAAUGUUGAGACAAUUUUCAUUUUUGGGUGAAUGUAAAGGGAGGACACGGGGAACCACGUUUCUUCAACUCUGGUAAGCAGUUUAAUUACUUGGGUAACUCGGGUUUUUACAGGAGCGCCACAAAAGGUCAGUUUCACACUUUUAAAAUAGCUUCACAAUACUCUUUCAGCUUCACAACACUCCUGGACCCAGGCUCUCUCUCUCCCAGUCUGCUGGCGGUGUGACUCGUUUAUGCCGUUCUCCCCGAGCUCACUGUAAUUAAAGACAAGUGUCAGACAUAAUUUAGCUCAGGUGGAUGCGCCCUUACCACUCUCUCUCUCUCCGGACGGAAGCUUGACCACGCCCCCGCUGCCACAGUGAACAAUCCCUUUAAGCUCCCAAAGAUCUUGGCAUGUCCACAUCUGACGGCCAUGUUGGCAGCUAGCAAGCUAGAUGCAGUGCAACAAUUGGAACAGAAUGCAGGUGAUUGAUAGCUUUGCAUCCAGCAUGGCGAAAGCCAUCGAGAGCGAUGCCAAACUUCUGCUGUUUGGAGCAGAGUCUCUGACUGACAGCAUUUCAUCAUGUCCACCCGCACAAAGUGGCUCACGAUACCCGGACUGUCAGAGGGUUCGACUGGAGAAUAUUGAUGAGGGAUUGUGAAUGAUGAAAAGGAUGAAGAUGAGGAGGAUGAAAUAGAGGAAAUAUGUGCAAAGAGUUGGUAGGGGCAUGUUGUCACACUAUGUGGGUUUGGCAUGCCCAAUUCUAAUGCACUCUAGGUCCUCAUGGUGGUGUAGUGACUCGCCUCAAUCUGGGUGGCGGAGGAUGAAUCUCAGUUGCCUCUGCGUCUGAGACAGUCAAUCUGCACGUCUUAUCGCCACGGCUUGUUGAGUGCAUUACCGCGAUCUAGCAUGCUAUUCUCCACGGCAUCCAUGGACAAAUCACCAUGUGCCCAACUGAGAGCAAGAACCACAUUAUAGUGACCACGAGGAGGUUAACCCAAUAUGACUCUACCCACCCUAGCAACUGGGCCAAUUGGUUGCUUAGGAAGCCUGACUGGAGUCACUCAGCAUGCCCAUGAGCUACCCAUGCCCCCCAGCAGAUGCCAGCAUUAACCGUUUCACUGUAUCCAACUGCAACAGUUUCUGCAAACACAGAUGACUGUUUGAUCCAGUCGCUCUUGAAUAACGCUCGAGCAGGACUAGCUCAUCACACAUGACCCUCAGAUUCCCACUGGAAGUGAUCUUGUCUGGACCGUCUGCAGGAAUGAGAUCCCUUGCACAACAUCCCACAAAUGAAAAUUCAGAGAUUCUGUUGCUCUGUUUGUGAUUCUAUAAUAAUACAAAAAUAUCAUAAAAUGUAAAUGUAACUUACUGUUUUUUUAUUAUUUUUUACUUGUUAUUAGCUGGCAUGCUCUUGUCUCAGUGGUGUUACACCAUAUUGAGGAAUGAGUAUUAAAACUGACAGUAACAGCACUUAUGAAUUUCAUAAUUUGAUAGUUAAGAUGGAGGAAGGUAGCUAUUACAAAACAAAAAUGUAACAUAUAACUCUAUAUCA